rnacentral:rRNA from 1 species
GCUCGAGUGGCGAACGGGUGAGUAACACGUGAGUAACCUGCCCUUGACUUUGGGAUGACUUCAGGAAACUGGGGCUAAUACCGGAUAGGAGCUCCUGCUGCAUGGUGGGGGUUGGAAAGUUUCGGCGGUCGGGGAUGGACUCGCGGCUUAUCAGCUUGUUGGUGGGGUAGUGGCUUACCAAGGCUUUGACGGGUAGCCGGCCUGAGAGGGUGACCGGCCACAUUGGGACUGAGAUACGGCCCAG